ensembl:lncRNA
ACGAGGCCCAUGGUGACUCUGGAGCAGCUAAAGUUCGUCCCGUUUGUUGCUGAGUGGUGCACGUUGGAGAUAAAGAUGUCCGGCAGCGGUGUGUGAGAACCACGCUUGCGGAGUCGCACUAACGAGCAAAGCCGUUCUUCUGCCAACCUAGUCUUCGGAUCAAUGAUUCGUUCAUCUGCCAGAACCACCGACCACAUCAGCUCAUUACCCUCACCUGGUUCUCCUUAUCCUUCUCACCUGCAGCACAUCCCAUUGUCAGCCACUCACAAUUUAAGCCUGUAACAUUCUGUUGUUUCCUGCCAAGUUUUCCAGCGUUUCUGAAUCACCCAGAUAUUCUUUUGUUCUGAACCAGCCUGCCUUUUGACCACGAAUUCCUUGUCUGAUUGCCACCAUGGUUCUGACCCUGCCUGUUUUUAUCUACGGAUUCUCUGCCUGCCACUCACAUUUGUUUGCCUACUGACCGCUGACGGAUCUCCUGGUUUUGACCUUGCCUGAACUUUCAGUAAAAUCCAC